GACGAACGCUGGCGGCGCGCUUAACACAUGCAAGUCGAACGGAAUGGCCUGCUUUCCCUUGUGGAUUGCGGGUACUCGAGUGGCGAACGGGUGAGUAACACGUGAGUGAUCUGCCCCCAACUUGGGUAUAAGCCUGGGAAACUGGGUCUAAUUCCCGAUAGGACUGCAGGGUGGUGCCUGUGGUGGAAAACGAUUUUCUAGUGGUUGGGGAUGAGCUCGCGGCCUAUCAGCUUGUUGGUGGGGUAAUGGCCUACCAAGGCGGCGACGGGUAGCCGGCCUGAGAGGGUGGACGGCCACAUUGGGACUGAGAUACGGCCCAGACUCCUACGGGAGGCAGCAGUGGGGAAUAUUGCACAAUGGGCGGAAGCCUGAUGCAGCGACGCCGCGUGGGGGAUGACGGCCUUCGGGUUGUAAACUCCUUUCGACCGCGAGGAAGCCACCUGGUUGGAAGGGUGGUGACGGUAGUGGUAGAAGAAGCACCGGCUAACUACGUG
rnacentral:rRNA from 1 species